GAAGAAAUGGCAAUAUAUUUCCACAUCAAGAUGUUAGGAUUAUAAAAAUGUAAUGCAGAUGGAGAUAUAUGAAUAUAUAAAAGAAAAUUUACAUUUCGGUGAAGGUAGAUCAAAAGAAGUGCAUUGGUCUCAUAGUUUAACGUCAGGACUCUUUGGAAGCCCUAACUCAUGCGUAUGCACAGACCAGAUUGAGAAGCUGCGACGAUCAAGAAGGCACAACAAUGUUUCUUCUUCCUUAGGCGGCUCAGGAAAUUUGGCAUGUCCAUGAGCACCCUCAUCAACUUUUACGGACUGGUAUGGCAACUGCUUUGCCCAAGACUGUACGAAACUACAGAAGGUUGUGUGCACAGCCCAGACCAUCACAAAGACCAACCUUUGAUCCACAGCUCGUUGCCGCGGAAAAGUUGUCAACAUCAUCAAAGACCCAUCGGAUCCUGGUAAUUCUCUCCUACAACCUAUUCUUUCAGGCAGAAGAUACAGAAGCUUGAACACAUGCACCAGCAGGUGUAGGAACAACUUCUUCCCAUCCAUCAUUAGACUGAUGAAUGGACUCUCCAACUCCAAAUUAUGCUGAUCUUGCCUCGUGUAUGCCCUGUGUGAUGUAACAUGUUUACCUCUGUUAACUUUUUUAUCAUCAUAUGAUCUGUAUGUCUUUUUUUGUAUGAUCUGCCUGUAUUAUUGUUAUGAACAAAGAACAAAGAAAAUUACAG